AUUGAACGCUGGCGGCAUGCCUUACACAUGCAAGUCGAACGGCAGCACGGGAGCAAUCCUGGUGGCGAGUGGCGAACGGGUGAGUAAUAUAUCGGAACGUGCCCAGUCGUGGGGGAUAACGUAGCGAAAGCUACGCUAAUACCGCAUACGAUCCAUGGAUGAAAGCGGGGGAUCGCAAGACCUCGCGCGAUUGGAGCGGCCGAUAUCAGAUUAGCUAGUUGGUGGGGUAAAAGCCCACCAAGGCGACGAUCUGUAGCUGGUCUGAGAGGACGACCAGCCACACUGGAACUGAGACCCGGUCCAGAAUCCUACGGGAGGCAGCAGUGGGGAAUUUUGGACAAGGGCGAAAGCCUGAUCCAGCAAUGCCGCGUGCAGGACGAAGGCCUUCGGGUUGUAAACUGCUUUUGUACGGAGCGAAACGGUCCUCUCUAAUACAGGGGGCUAAUGACGGUACCGUAAGAAUAAGCACCGGCUAACUACGUGCCAGCCGCCGCCGUAA
rnacentral:rRNA from 1 species